UCCCACCUAGCUCAUUCAGGAAAGAAUCUGCCUGCUAUGCAGGAGACCCGGGUUUGAUUCCUGGGUCGGGAA
rnacentral:tRNA from 1 species